rnacentral:lncRNA from 1 species
AACGCCUAUUGACAAGUAUAAAAUAUAGUCGAUCAAAAUAAUGAAUUAAUUUUGACUUUCGAAUAUUUUACUUUUUAAAUAUAACAUAUUAUUCGUACGAAUAAAAUAUAUAAAAGCUUUUAGACAAAGCUGACACGAGCAAAAACAUUCGUUCAGGUUAAUUUAAUAUAACUAUCGAGAAAAAUGUUCGGUGCACUGUACGGUUAUGUCCAAUCGAAAUAUAUCGAACUGAAUGCUACCGUACUGAAAUAUAUCGAAUUGAACGUACUGAAGAGUGAAAUCGAAUCGCGUUAGAUUAAAACACAUAAUGGCGUCGGAUCGAAUUGUAUAGUAUCGAAUUGUGGGUAAUUGAACUGCGUCAAAUUGAUUCACAUGGAAUUGAAUCGUGUUAGAUUAAAUUAUGCAGAAUUGAAUCGCGUGUAACUAAAUCCGAUCGAAAUGAAUCGCUCGCUUAGUUUAAACGCACCCUUACCGAACGAAACGGCAAAUUUGAACGCAGUAACUUCAUCGUUCUCACCGUCGAGUGUUUCUUGGUACGGUAUUCUUACUAUCAAAUGUUAAACCGCAUUUCCAUGUUCGUUUUGCAAUCCAUUACAAAGGCCGGCUUGUUAGGUGCCAUGACAUAUACGACAUGCUCGAUUUUACACUCUGACGCUUGUGGUCGAUCAAACCGCAAACAUUUUUCGCGCCUCACAGAGACGAGUAACUUCUCGCAACACGAUUGAUCUUCUGAGAAACAUACCAGAUCGCCAGAAACUUUCUACAAACAGGUGCAGACGACGAAAGGCACAUCAUACAUUCGAGACAUGUACUGGGCGUCUCUGAACACCAUACACGAUUGGUAAAGAAUAAAUUGAAAACUUUCUAAUGAUCUUUGAUUUUGAGAAUAUGAACGGAAAGAUGGCUGUAGUAGUGGUACAGGUCCAUUAGAUGUCUAAAAGGACUUUCGAAAUUACGGAGAGGUUGCUAUGAAUUUUGGAAAGAAGUCCCAGAUCCUCGUUGAAUCGAUGAAGACUCUUCACGGUAUCGAAAUCGGCGCAAAAAUAGAAAACAAGAGCAUAAUAAUGGGAUACUCUGCGACUGCAUUACUAUUUCUGACUACGGGUUCGGAUGGAACCCGGACGAUGAAUAAUGCAUGAUGCGCGAUAGACGCGCUACCAGAGAUCGAGUUUUGUGAACAUCGAACUGUCUUUGAUGGAUCUCCGUGUCUUAGUAAAGAAGCCAGACAUUUAAUUUGCCAGUUUCAAUCGUAUUACCGUGACGAAUAUAACGAACGACUAUUCGUAUUUUCCAGAUUUUUCUCCACGGGGUAAAUCGUCCGCGUGAAAUGUAAAUUAAUGGUGGAGACUUUCGGACGAAUGGUUAAGAUUUUCACGGCGACUCAAAAGCAUCAGGGCGAUAUCUUCAUUUUUAAAGGUCAAAUUGGACGGUCCCCGAGGGACUAUGGGGGCCGUUCUCCGGAUCCAUCGAGCAACAGAUCAGGAUCAUGAUUUCGCGUCGUUCUCUUUUUUCUCCGCGUGGCGUAAGUGGCGACGAGAAAAGAAAAGGUGGAGUUGGAGAUAAUCGAUUUCACGGGUAUCGGAAUCUCUUGCGGGGUAAUAAAUUUUUAAAGGCUCGGUAUACGUGUCGGGUUUCUAAUAGCCAAGCGAAAUUAAAGGAUAUAUUCGAUAAACGUUGCAGGAGAAUCGAGCUGUAUAUUAUACAGUAUGCCGUGGAAAGCUGCUGCACCGAUACAACGAAUACAAUUGAUCCAAACGUGUAUUAUACGCUGCUCACGAACGGGGAAGCAAGCCUCGCAGAACCGUCCUCUGAGAGAGAGAGAGAGAGAGCAGCCAGUGCCGGUUUAUUCCCGAUCGAAUGUUUUUGCUCGACCGUCGCAAACCUAAUUGGAUUCGCUACAAAGCACGAGCAGUCGUAUGUACAACGAGCAUUACGCAAAAUCAUGUAGUCCUCAGCUUUUUAAACGUUGAUUCAUCGACUGGUCUCGUGUUUGAAGCUGCAUCGCAGAGCGUCACGUUCGAUUGGUCCUGCGGUACGGAAUCGAAUUUGCAAUUGGUUAAGGAGACCUCGGACGAUCGAUAUACAGGGUGUUACGUUUACGGUAGCUCGUAAGCUUGCACUUUUGAAUAUAGGAUCGUUACUCCCAGAAGCAUAAUUAGAUCGUUCCCAUAAAUUUCAUUGCCGUAUCUUUUAAAUUGACCGAUAGUUGGUAAAUCAGGUUAGGUCAAAUACGGUCAACUAACCUGAUCUGACCCUAACUCUAAUCGUCAGUUAAUUCAUGAUGGCAUUCCUGAAGACCGUAUAGUGGAGGGAUCAUUUUAUGUCUAAUUACUAAAAAGUGAUCAGUAUAUAUUAUCCUGAAUAUUAUACGUUAUAAUAGGUAUAUAUUAUAGAAGAUAAUCAUAUAUAAGCUAAGAGAUAAUGAAUUUUAUUUCGUCGUAUUAAAAUGAAGAUCAAUAUAUUGAUCGCUUGGAUUAAACUUAAAGCUGCUCAUCACAAUUUUCCCUUAACGCAGCAGUCUGCUAAAAAGGAUUAUUCUUGCUUGCUGUUUAGACGUAAUUACUUUACAGUAAUUAGGUGGAUUUCGUUCGUUUUAUUUGUAACGCGAAUUGAAAUUACGAUUCCGUUGAGUUACCACGCUGGUCAAGACAACGUACGCCUUCACGAUGCGUUCGUGUACACACGAUAUCAACUUAUCGCUAUAAUUCUUACCUUGC